UACGGGGGGGGUAAGCGUUGUUCGGAAUUACUGGGCGUAAAGGGCUCGUAGGCGGCCAACUAAGUCAGACGUGAAAUCCCUCAGCUUAACUGGGGAACUGCGUCUGAUACUGGAUGGCUUGGAUUCGGGAGAGGAAUGCGGAAUUCCAGGUGUAGCGGUGAAAUGCAUAGAUAUCUGGAGGAACACCGGUGGCGAAGGCGGCAUUCUGGACCGACAUUGACGCUGAGGAGCGAAAGCCAGGGGAGCAAACGGG
rnacentral:rRNA from 1 species